rnacentral:lncRNA from 10 species
AGAAUAGAUUUAUAAAUGAAUGAGUAGUUAAACCAAGGUCAAACAGCUGGUAUCAGGAGAAGAAUUAGGGGAAAUUAGUGUUUGAUUCUAGCUUUGUCUAAUUGCAAAGCCUGAACUGGAGGCCUGUGGAUACUGAAAACAAAACAAUGAAAGAACAAGACCUCUGAUAGAUUUCAUGGGCUUCUUGGAGGACCAACGUCAGU